UAACGCGUGGAGAACCUGCCGUAUACUGGGGGAUAACACUUAGAAAUAGGUGCUAAUACCGCAUAAGCGCACAGCUUCGCAUGAAGCAGUGUGGAAAACAAAAGCUAAAGCUUUUGGUGGUAUACGAUGGAUCCGCGUCUGAUUAGCUGGUUGGCGGGGUAAAGGCCCACCAAGGCGACGAUCAGUAGCCGGCCUGAGAGGGUGAACGGCCACAUUGGGACUGAGACACGGCCCAAACUCCUACGGGAGGCAGCAG
rnacentral:rRNA from 1 species